rnacentral:rRNA from 1 species
UACGUAGGGUGCAAGCGUUGUCCGGAAUUAUUGGGCGUAAAGAGCUCGUAGGCGGUUCGUCGCGUCGGCUGUGAAAACCCGGAGCUCAACUCCGGGCCUGCAGUCGAUACGGGCGGACUUGAGUGUUGCAGGGGAGACUGGAAUUCCUGGUGUAGCGGUGAAAUGCGCAGAUAUCAGGAGGAACACCGGUGGCGAAGGCGGGUCUCUGGGCAACUACUGACGCUGAGGCGCGAAAGCCAGGGGAGCAAACGGG